rfam:Aedes aegypti strain Liverpool supercont1.189 genomic scaffold, whole genome shotgun sequence.
UGCCCAGCAACUCCUAUCCCUACCUCCUCGUGGUACUGGCCGGGGUACGAGAAACCUUAGGGAAGAUCGGGUAACCAACCCCCGGUGGGAACUUUGGUCAUAUGCUGACAGGGAAGG